rnacentral:rRNA from 1 species
AGCGAACGCUGGCGGCAGGCUUAACACAUGCAAGUCGAACGCCCGGGCAACCGGGAGUGGCAGACGGGUGAGUAACGCGUGGGAACGUGCCCUUUGGUUCGGAAUAACUCAGGGAAACUUGAGCUAAUACCGGAUAAGCCCUUACGGGGAAAGAUUUAUCGCCGAAGGAUCGGCCCGCGUCCGAUUAGCUAGUUGGUGUGGUAAUGGCGCACAAGGCGACGAUCGGUAGCUGGUCUGAGAGGAUGAUCAGCCACACUGGGACUGAGACACGGCCCAGACUCCUACGGGAGGCAGCAGUGGGGAAUAUUGGACAAUGGGGGCAACCCUGAUCCAGCCAUGCCGCGUGAGUGAUGAAGGCCCUAGGGUUGUAAAGCUCUUUCGGCGGGGACGAUAAUGACGGUACCCGCAGAAGAAGCCCCGGCUAACUUCGUGCCAGCAGCCGCAGUAAAAC